CACCAAUGUGUCGGAGGAAACACCAUGCACCUGGUGACCGUGUCAGCAUGCACUGCGCCCGGCUCGCCACAGGAGUUGUUAGUGCGCGAUGGGACAAGGACAUCCCUGCCGGCCAAACCCUCCCCUAACCCGGAUGAUGCUGGGCCAAUUGUGCGCCGCCCCAUGGGUCUACCGGUCGAGGCCGGCUGCGACAGAGCCUGAUCUCAAACCCAGAAUCUCUAGUGGCACAGCUAGCACUGUGGUGCAGUGCCUCAGACCACAGCGCCACAUUUUUUGGAGUAUUACUUUAGUGCCUUAUUGCAAACAGGAUACAUGUUUUGGAAUAUAUUUAUUCUGUACAGGCUUCCUUCUUUUCUCACUGUCAAUAAGGUAUAAAGACAAGGAGGCAUACAAUGGUAUGUCAAUUGGUAUUGGCAUGUUAUGCAGAUCACAUUUACCUCCCUUACCUCUUCAAUGAAUAUCCCAUAGGCCUCUACAUUAUGGAUAAGACUUCACCCUCCCAACACCUCUGAUGAAUAUAACAGGAAACCUGUUCGAUCACCAUUCACUGCAAAAACAUUCUGGCUAUGGAUACGGACAACAUCAACACGUUAACGUCAACAUGCCAGAAGAUGUGCCCAUUGGACUUGGGGCUCUGCUGGGAGUUUAUCUCAUAUUUACAUCAUAAUAAACACUGAGAACUAAAAUAUUGGGUUAUUGUUAUGCAUAUUAUUAUUAAUAAUAAUAAUAGGCGAGGAGGGGGGGUAGUUAAAAAAUUAACCCCAAAAGGUUAUUCAAAAGGUUCUUCAAGGAUCCAAUUAAAGGGGUUCUUUGAAGAACCCUUUCAAAGGGUUAUUCUAAGAACUUAUAGGGGUUCCCCCACAGUUACAAUUUGAAGAACCCCUAAAGGAUACCCCAGGAACCUUUUCUUUUUAGAGUGUACUUCACCACAGCAAAUUGUUGAUGCAGUAUUUUGAAAUCCAUCAUUCAUCUUUCUCCAGCUUAAGCAAUUCAUUUGAUAAGUUUAUUCAUUUAUUCAUACGUGUUCCAGAAUUUACUGCAAACAAGCUGAAAGGAACCACGACAACAUUUGAAUUAUGAGUUACAAUUGGGUCCCAUCGGCUCCGUUGGUAGAGCAGGUGGUUUGCAAUGAGGGACCAGUGCAGAAAAGCAUGAAAAAUGUAUGCACUGGAUAAGAGCUUCUACUAAAAUGUAAAUCCUUUAUGAAUUUUCUGACACUGAGGUCAGGAUUCAAUCCAAUCGCACGUGAGCAGUGUGGAUGAAAUCAUUUAAUUUUAUUUUGCAAAGCUCAAGCAUCUCCUUUUGGCCGACCAGUCAAAGUUCAGAGUUCGUGAGUUUACGUGACUCAAGGUAUGUG
rnacentral:lncRNA from 1 species